AUGCCCCAAAUGCAGGGGCACAACUCGGCACCCAGCGCUGGGUGUGGGGAGCUGCUGGGGUCCCAGGGGCUGGGAGGGCUCAGGCAGCACCACGGGUCCGCACCACGGCCUCUCCACGUUGCUGCUGUACGUGUGCCUACCAACCUCCUUCCCCGCAUACCUCUGUUAUUAAAGAGGCUCUGGGAGGGAGGAGGGAAAGUGACCUUUCUCCCGCACCGCUCCGGAGAGGGGAGAGAAAAUCCCCCUGGGAUGGGAAGGAAAUUGCAAAUACCUCUCCGUGGCUCCGGCGCCUGGCUGUGCCCCUGUCCCCCGCAGCCGGGCCCUGGGAAGGGGACAGCAGCACCGGCGGGGCACAGCCCGCCCGCGGCCCCUGGAUGUCCCCCCGCGGCAGAGCCGUGCCUGGCUCCGGGCUGGGCUGGGACCGCGACUCUGCUCCGGGGGACACCGGCCCCGGCCGCUCCGGGUGGCGAGGGCUCUGCGGCCGCGGGGAGGCCGAGGAGCGGGGACACCGGGGUCGCUCCAGCACAGGGCUGCGGGCGGGCGGCCGGACACGGCUCCGCGCUGUGCUACGGGAAUGGGACGCCGAGGGCGUGCACGGACCCCCCUGCCCCUGGCCGGCGCAGGACCGCCGCUCCCCGGGAUGGACCCCGCUCCGCUCCGCUGCGUGGCUCCGCUCAGCUGUUUGUCCGGAGAAAAGCGCUGCUCUUGUUUCCCUACUGGGUGUUUUUUGAAGCGCUGAUCAAACUUCACGGAAUUUCACGAGGGAUGGGGAACUCCGCGUGUCCGAAAGUCAGCCCGUCCCUGGGAGCUGGGUCAGCGCCCGCACAGCGCCCGCACAGGGCUGCACAGCAGACGGGUGAGGAACCCAGGAAUGGGGGGGGGGGACACUUGUGCAGGACGCCCGCACGGAGCGGGUCUGGGACAUCUCAGAGUAAGAGGGAAUACCAGAGACCCCCGGGGCAGCAGUGCCGCUCUCCGAUCCCCGCCGCAGCGCUGCAGAGCGGGCCCCGGAGCUCUUAA
rnacentral:lncRNA from 1 species